CGCUAGCACUCCUACGGGAGGCAGCAGUGGGGAAUAUUGCACAAUGGGGGAAACCCUGAUGCAGCCAUGCCGCGUGUGUGAAGAAGGCCUUCGGGUUGUAAAGCACUUUCAGUAGGGAGGAAGGUAGUGUAGUUAACACCUGCAUUAUUUGACGUUACCUACAGAAGAAGCACCGGCUAACUCCGUGCCAGCAGCCGCGGUAAUACGGAGGGUGCGAGCGUUAAUCGGAAUUACUGGGCGUAAAGCGCAUGCAGGUGGUUUGUUAAGUCAGAUGUGAAAGCCCGGGGCUCAACCUCGGAAUUGCAUUUGAAACUGGCAGACUAGAGUACUGUAGAGGGGGUAGAAUUUCAGGUGUAGCGGUGAAAAUGCGUAGAGAUCUGAAGGAAUACCGGUGGCGAAGGCGGCCCCCUCGGACAGAUACUGACACUCAGAUGCGAAAGCGUGGGGAGCAAACAGGAUUAGAUACCCUGGUAG
rnacentral:rRNA from 1 species